rnacentral:rRNA from 1 species
ACUUAAAUUGAAGAGUUUGAUCAUGGCUCAGAUUGAACGCUGGCGGCAGGCCUAACACAUGCAAGUCGAGCGGUAGCACAGAGAGCUUGCUCUCGGGUGACGAGCGGCGGACGGGUGAGUAAUGUCUGGGAAACUGCCUGAUGGAGGGGGAUAACUACUGGAAACGGUAGCUAAUACCGCAUAACGUCGCAAGACCAAAGUGGGGGACCUUCGGGCCUCAUGCCAUCAGAUGUGCCCAGAUGGGAUUAGCUAGUAGGUGGGGUAAUGGCUCACCUAGGCGACGAUCCCUAGCUGGUCUGAGAGGAUGACCAGCCACACUGGAACUGAGACACGGUCCAGACUCCUACGGGAGGCAGCAGUGGGGAAUAUUGCACAAUGGGCGCAAGCCUGAUGCAGCCAUGCCGCGUGUGUGAAGAAGGCCUUCGGGUUGUAAAGCACUUUCAGCGGGGAGGAAGGCGAUAAGGUUAAUAACCUUGUUGAUUGACGUUACCCGCAGAAGAAGCACCGGCUAACUCCGUGCCAGCAGCCGCGGUAAUACGGAGGGUGCAAGCGUUAAUCGGAAUUACUGGGCGUAAAGCGCACGCAGGCGGUCUGUCAAGUCGGAUGUGAAAUCCCCGGGCUCAACCUGGGAACUGCAUUCGAAACUGGCAGGCUAGAGUCUUGUAGAGGGGGGUAGAAUUCCAGGUGUAGCGGUGAAAUGCGUAGAGAUCUGGAGGAAUACCGGUGGCGAAGGCGGCCCCCUGGACAAAGACUGACGCUCAGGUGCGAAAGCGUGGGGAGCAAACAGGAUUAGAUACCCUGGUAGUCCACGCCGUAAACGAUGUCGAUUUGGAGGUUGUGCCCUUGAGGCGUGGCUUCCGGAGCUAACGCGUUAAAUCGACCGCCUGGGGAGUACGGCCGCAAGGUUAAAACUCAAAUGAAUUGACGGGGGCCCGCACAAGCGGUGGAGCAUGUGGUUUAAUUCGAUGCAACGCGAAGAACCUUACCUGGUCUUGACAUCCACAGAACUUAGCAGAGAUGCUUUGGUGCCUUCGGGAACUGUGAGACAGGUGCUGCAUGGCUGUCGUCAGCUCGUGUUGUGAAAUGUUGGGUUAAGUCCCGCAACGAGCGCAACCCUUAUCCUUUGUUGCCAGCGGUUAGGCCGGGAACUCAAAGGAGACUGCCAGUGAUAAACUGGAGGAAGGUGGGGAUGACGUCAAGUCAUCAUGGCCCUUACGACCAGGGCUACACACGUGCUACAAUGGCAUAUACAAAGAGAAGCGACCUCGCGAGAGCAAGCGGACCUCAUAAAGUAUGUCGUAGUCCGGAUUGGAGUCUGCAACUCGACUCCAUGAAGUCGGAAUCGCUAGUAAUCGUAGAUCAGAAUGCUACGGUGAAUACGUUCCCGGGCCUUGUACACACCGCCCGUCACACCAUGGGAGUGGGUUGCAAAAGAAGUAGGUAGCUUAACCUUCGGGAGGGCGCUUACCACUUUGUGAUUCAUGACUGGGGUGAAGUCGUAACAAGGUAACCGUAGGGGAACCUGCGGUUGGAUCACCUCCUUACCUUAAAGAA